GGUGGGAAUACAUUCUGAAGGUGGGAAUACAUUCUGAAGGUGUGAAUACAUUCUGAAGGUGGGAAUACAUUCUGAAGGUUUGAAUACGUUCUGAAGGUGGGAAUACAUUCUGAAGGUGGGAAUACAUUCUGAAGGUGGGAAUACAUUCUGAAGGUGAGAAUACAUUCUGAAGGUGGGAAUACAUUCUGAAGGUGGGAAUACAUUCUGAAGGUGGGAAUACGUUCUGAAGGUGGGAAUACGUUCUGAAGGUGUGAAUACAUUCUGAAGGUGGGAAUACAUUCUGAAGGUGGGAAUACAUUCUGAAGGUGUGAAUACGUUCUGAAGGUGGGAAUACAUUCUGAUGGUGUGAAUACAUUCUGAAGGUGGGAAUACAUUCUGAAGGUGUGAAUACAUUCUGAAGGUGGGAAUACAUUCUGAAGGUGGGAAUACAUUCUGAAGGUGUGAAUACAUUCUGAAGGUGUGAAUACAUUCUGAAGGUGGGAAUACAUUCUGAAGGUGGGAAUACAUUCUGAAGGUGGGAAUACAUUCUGAAGGUGGGAAUACAUUCUGAAGGUGGGAAUACAUUCUGAAGGUGGGAAUACAUUCUGAAGGUGGGAAUACAUUCUGAAGGUGGGAAUACAUUCUGAAGGUGGGAAUACAUUCUGAAGGUGGGAAUACAUUCUGAAGGUGGGAAUACAUU